CCUGAACGCUGUCGGCGUGACUAACACAUGCAAGUCGUACGGGCGUAGCAAUACUUCAGUGGCGCCCGGGUGAGUAAGGCAUCGCUAAUCUGCCCCGUGGCCUGGGAUAGCCAGCCGAAUGGUUUGAUAAUACCAGAUGUGACCACGAACCGGCAUCCGUUCGUGCUAAAAGGUUCGCCGCCCUGUGAUGAGGCGAUGUGGUAUCAGCUAGUUGUUGGGGUAACGGCACACCAAGGCGUUGACGCCGAGCCGGAGUGAGAGGUCGGCCGGCCACAUCGGGACUGAGACACUGCCCGGACUGGUACGGGGGGCUGCAGUAAUGAAUCUUCCGGAAUGCACGAAAGUGUGACGGAGCGACGGCGGGUGGAGGAUGAAGUGGUUGGGGAUGUAAACUUCUAAAAACGGUUAGAGAGUGACGAUAGAGAGGAUAUAAGUGGCGACUAACUAUGUG
rnacentral:rRNA from 1 species